rnacentral:rRNA from 1 species
GGGUAACCUGCCCAAGAGAUCGGGAUAACACCUGGAAACAGAUGCUAAUACCGGAUAACAACAGAUGAUGUCUAUCAACUGUUUAAAAGAUGGUUCUGCUAUCACUCUUGGAUGGACCUGCGGUGCAUUAGCUAGUUGGUAGGGUAACGGCCUACCAAGGCGAUGAUGCAUAGCCGAGUUGAGAGACUGAUCGGCCACAUUGGGACUGAGACACGGCCCAAACUCCUACGGGAGGCAGCAGUU